UGAUUUCUCUCUUUGACUAUCACCAGGGU
rnacentral:piRNA from 1 species